rnacentral:tRNA from 1 species
GCCCCGGUGGCCCAGCCUGGUCUAACAAUUAGGACCACAGGCGCCGGCUUGGUAAGCCGGAAGUCGCGGGUUCGAAUCCCGCCCGGGGCUCCA